rnacentral:rRNA from 1 species
AUAAUUUAAUUUCUUAAUUGGAUAACCGUAGUAAUUCUAGAGCUAAUACAUGCAAAAAAUUCAGACUUUUCUCUUUUUGUAAAAGGAAAGGGGAAGGAAUGAAUGUAUUUAUUGGGUUAAAAAAAAUCAGUUUUUUGGGUUGGGGCAACUCAAUUCAAAAAAAACUUUAAAAAAUUUGGUGAAUCACAGUAAAUUUACGAAUCGAAUUUCUUUUUUUUAAAAGGGGAUUUGAUGAUACAAAUGAGUUUCUGACCUAUCAACUUUCGAUGGUAGUGUAUUGGACUACCAUGGUUAUGACGGGUAACGGAGAAUUUGGGUUUGAUUCCGGAGAAAAAGCCUGAGAGACGGCUAUUACUUCCAAGGAAGGCAGCAGGCGCGUAAAUUACCCAAUCCUAAUUCGGGGAGGUAGUGACAAGAAAUACUGAUAUUGAUCCCAACGGGAACAAUGAUUGGAAUGAGAACAAUUUAAAAAACUUAACGACUAACAAUU